rnacentral:rRNA from 1 species
CCUACGGGAGGCAGCAGUGAGGAAUAUUGGUCAAUGGACGAGAGUCUGAACCAGCCAAGUAGCGUGAAGGAUGACUGCCCUAUGGGUUGUAAACUUCUUUUAUAUGGGAAUAAAAUGUUCCACGUGUGGGAUUUUGUAUGUACCAUAUGAAUAAGGAUCGGCUAACUCCGUGCCAGCAGCCGCGGUAAUACGGAGGAUCCGAGCGUUAUCCGGAUUUAUUGGGUUUAAAGGGAGCGUAGGUGGAUUGUUAAGUCAGUUGUGAAAGUUUGCGGCUCAACCGUAAAAUUGCAGUUGAUACUGGCAGUCUUGAGUACAGUAGAGGUAGGCGGAAUGCGUGGUGUAGCGGUGAAAUGCUUAGAUAUCACGAAGAACUCCGAUUGCGAAGGCAGUUCACUGGACUGCAACUGACACUGAGGCUCGAAAGUGUGGGUAUCAAACAGGAUUAGAUACCCUUGUAGUC